ACAACGUUCUGAGCAGCCAGUGGCCUCUUCACCCUGGUGACCUCUGUUCCGGCUUCUGUCGCUGAGAGACGCCAUGGGGGAUCUGUGGAGGCUUCUGUCGUGCUGGGACCUACCCUGGCAGCGGGAGGAGUUGGGAGGACCCGGGACACUGCAAAGCCGGGAAAUGAACUCAGUGGCCUUUGAGGAUGUGUCUGUGAACUUCACUUAUGAGGAGUGGGCUUUGCUGGGUCCAUCACAGAAGAAUCUCUACAGAGAUGUGAUGCAGGAAACCAUUAGGAACCUGAAUUGUAUAGGAAUGAAAUGGGAAAACCAGACACUGAUGAUCAGUACCAGAAUCUCAGGAGAAAUCUAAGAUGUGGUGUGGUAGAGAGAUUUGAUAAAAGAUAUUAGUCAGUGUGGAGAAACCUUAAGCCAGAUUCCAAAUAGUAUUGUAAACAAGAACACUCCUGCCAGAGUAGAUGCAUGCGAAAGCAGUGUGAAUGGAGAAGUCAUAAUGGGUCAUUCAUCCCUGAAUUGCUACAUCAGAGUUGCCACUGGACACAAACACCAUGAGUGUCACAAAUAUGCAGAGAAGCCAUAUACACAUAAGCAGUGUGAGAGAGGCUUAACUUAUCACCACUCCUUUCAAACACGUGAAAGGCCUCAUUCUGAGAGAAGCUCUAUGAUUGCAAAGAAUGUGGAAAAACCUUCAGUUCUGGAAAUCUUGAAAGACAUAGCGCAAGGUGGAGAUGGACCUUAUAAAUGUGAAUUGUGUGGAAAAGGCUUUUGUUGGCCCAGUUUAUUACGUAUGCAUGAAAGAACUCACACUGGCGAGAAACCGUAUGAAUGUAAGCAAUGUUCUAAAGCCUUCCCUGAUUACAGUUCAUAUCUAAGACAUGAAAGAACCCACACUGGAGAAAAACCCACAAAUGUAAACAGUGUGGGAAAGCCUUCAGUGUUCCCAGUUCACUUCUAGUACAUGAAAGAAUUCACACUGGAGAGAAACCCUAUAUGUGUAAACAGUGUGGGAAAGCAUUUUGUCAUCUCGGAAGCUUUCAAAGACACAUGAUAAUGCACAGUGGAGAUGGACCUCAUAAAUGUAAGAUAUGUGGGAAAGGCUUUGAUUUUCCUGGUUCAGUACGAACUCAUGAAGGAACUCACACUCUAGAGAAACCCUAUGAAUGUAAGCAAUGUGGGAAAUUGUUAUCUCAUCGCUCAACCUUUCGAAGACACAUGAUGGCACAUACUGGAGAUGGCCCUCAUAAAUGCACAGUAUGUGGGAAAGCCUUUGAUUCUCCCAGUGUAUUUCAAAGACAUGAAAUGACUCACAAUGGAGAGAAACCCUAUGAAUGUAAGCAAUGUGGAAAAGCCUUUUGUAUUUCCAGUUCCCUUUGAAAACAUGUAACAACACACACUGGAGACCCACCCUAUAAAUAUAAAUGUAGAAAGGCUUUUAGUGAUUUCUUUUCAAAGUCAUGAAACAACACACAGUGGAGAGGAGCCUUAUGAAUGUAAGGAAUGUGGGAAAGCAUUUAGUUCUUUUAAAUACUUUCAUCACCAUGAAAGGACUCACAGUGAAGAAAAAUCUUAUGAGUGUCCGACUUGUGGGAAAGCCUUCACUCUUUCAGUUACUUAAAAACUCAGGAAAGGACUCACACAGCAGAGAAGCCAUAUGAAUUUAAGCAAUGCAGGAAAGCGUUCUUUUGGCCCUCCUUCCUUCUAAGACAUGAAAGGAUUCACACUGGAGAAAGACCCUAUGAGUGUAAACACUGUGGUAAAGCCUUCAGUCGUUCUAGUUUCUGUCAAGAACAUGAAAGAAUUCACACUGAAGAGAAGCCCUAUGAAUUAAGGAAUGUGGGAAAGCCUUCAGUUCUCUCAGUUCCUUUAAUAGACAUAAAAGGACUCACUGGAAGGAUAUUCUAUAAAUAUAUGGAACGUUGGAAAGCAUUCAUUAGUUUUAUCACAUUUCAGAUAUUUGAAAGAAAUAAAUCCUAUGCAUGUAAACUUGGUAAAGCCUUAAGAAGUUUCCAUUUCUUUCGAAUAAUUACUCCCUGAUAUAUGCAAGAAGAUUGAUUCCAGUACACCCUGAGUUUACCUAAAUCCACGAUGCCAGCUCUUUUAUAAAAUAGAAUAUUUGCAUGUACCUACCCACUUCCUCCUGUAUACUCUGUGUCAUGUCUAGAUUAAUUAAAACAUCUC